AGUGGCGAACGGGUGAGUAUAAUAUCGGAACUUGCCUUAUAGGAGGGGAUAACGCAUCGAAAGAUGUGCUAAUACCGUAUAAUCUCUGAGGAGGAAAGGUGGGGAUCUAGAGAUAGACCUGUCGCUAUAAGAGAGGCCGAUAUCCGAUUAGCUAGUUGGUGGGGUAAUAGCUUACCAAGGCGAUGAUCGGUAGCUGUUCUGAGAGGAAGAUCAGCCACACUGGGACUGAGACACGGCCCAGACUCCUACGGGAGGCAGCAGUGGGGGAUAUUGGACAAUGGGGGCAACCCUGAUCCAGCAACGCCGCGUGAAUGAAGAAGGCCUUAGGGUUGUAAAGUUCUUUUGUCUGGGGAGAGAUCGUGGUGGUGAAUAGCCAUUAUGUGAGACGGUACCAGAAGAAUAAGCACCGGCUAACUACGUGCCAGCAGCCGCGGUAAUACGUAGGGUGCGAGCGUUAAUCGGAAUUAUUGGGCGUAAAGGGUGAGUAGGCGGAUAUUUAAGUUAGAUGUGAAAGUCCUGAGCUUAACUUGGGGAUUGCAUUUAAUACUGGGUAUCUAGAGUUAAUUAGAGGGGGGUAGAAUUCCACGUGUAGCAGUGAAAUGCGUAGAGAUGUGGAGGAAUACCGAAGGCGAAGGCAGCCCCCUGGGAUAUAACUGACGCUGAGUCACGAAAGCGUGGGUAGCAAACAGGAUUAGAUACC
rnacentral:rRNA from 1 species